rnacentral:rRNA from 1 species
GAUGAACGCUGGCGGCGUGCCUAAUACAUGCCAGUCGAGCGAACAGACGAGGAGCUUGCUCCUCUGACGUUAGCGGCGGACGGGUGAGUAACACGUGGAUAACCUACCUAUAAGACUGGGAUAACUUCGGGAAACCGGAGCUAAUACCGGAUAAUAUAUUGAACCGCAUGGUUCAAUAGUGAAAGACGGUUUUGCUGUCACUUAUAGAUGGAUCCGCGCCGCAUUAGCUAGUUGGUAAGGUAACGGCUUACCAAGGCAACGAUGCGUAGCCGACCUGAGAGGGUGAUCGGCCCCACUGGAACUGAGACACGGUCCAGACUCCUACGGGAGGCAGCAGUAGGGAAUCUUCCGCAAUGGGCGAAAGCCUGACGGAGCAACGCCGCGUGAGUGAUGAAGGUCUUCGGAUCGUAAAACUCUGUUAUUAGGGAAGAACAAAUGUGUAAGUAACUAUGCACGUCUUGACGGUACCUAAUCAGAAAGCCACGGCUAACUACGUG